UGCGUAGGUGGCAAGCGUUAUCCGGAUUUAUUGGGCGUAAAGCGAGCGCAGGUGGUUUAUUAAGUCUGGUGUAAAAGGCAGUGGCUCAACCAUUGUAUGCAUUGGAAACUGGUAGACUUGAGUGCAGGAGAGGAGAGUGGAAUUCCAUGUGUAGCGGUGAAAUGCGUAGAUAUAUGGAGGAACACCGGUGGCGAAAGCGGCUCUCUGGCCUGUAACUGACACUGAGGCUCGAAAGCGUGGGGAGCAAACAGG
rnacentral:rRNA from 1 species